rnacentral:sRNA from 1 species
GCAAAAGAAGAUAAAGACAAAC